rnacentral:rRNA from 1 species
CCUACGGGAGGCAGCAGUAAGGAAUAUUGGACAAUGGGCGAAAGCCUGAUCCAGCCAUGCCGCGUGAAGGAUUAAGGUCCUCUGGAUUGUAAACUUCUUUUAUCUGGGACGAAAAAAGGGAAUUCUUUCCCACUUGACGGUACCAGGUGAAUAAGCACCGGCUAACUCCGUGCCAGCAGCCGCGGUAAUACGGAGGGUGCAAGCGUUAUCCGGAUUCACUGGGUUUAAAGGGUGCGUAGGCGGGUAGGUAAGUCAGUGGUGAAAUCCUGGAGCUUAACUCCAGAACUGCCAUUGAUACUAUUUAUCUUGAAUAUUGUGGAGGUUUGCGGAAUAUGUCAUGUAGCGGUGAAAUGCUUAGAUAUGACAUAGAACACCUAUUGCGAAGGCAGCAGGCUACACAUAUAUUGACGCUGAGGCACGAAAGCGUGGGGAUCAAACAGGAUUAGAUACCCUGGUAGUCCACGCCCUAAACUAUGGAUACUCGACAUACGCGAUACACUGUGUGUGUCUGNGNGAGANAUAGUAUCCNCCGUGGUAGUACGACGCGAGUUAGUUAAGUUAAUUAGAUUGNGNGNGAGAGNGCGAGCGACGACGAGGAGGAGG